GGCUCAGGAUGAACGCUGGCGGCGUGCUUAACACAUGCAAGUCGAACGAAGCAUUUAAGACGGAUUCUUUCGGGAUGAAGACUUUUAUGACUGAGUGGCGGACGGGUGAGUAACGCGUGGGUAACCUGCCUUAUACAGGGGGAUAACAGUUGGAAACGACUGCUAAUACCGCAUAAGCGCACGGUAUCGCAUGAUACAGUGUGAAAAACUCCGGUGGUAUAAGAUGGACCCGCGUCUGAUUAGCUUGUUGGCGGGGUAACGGCCCACCAAGGCGACGAUCAGUAGGGGUUCUGAGAGGAAGGUCCCCCACAUUGGAACUGAGACACGGUCCAAACUCCUACGGGAGGCAGCAGUGAGGAAUAUUGGUCAAUGGGCGAGAGCCUGAACCAGCCAAGUAGCGUGCAGGAUGACGGCCCUAUGGGUUGUAAACUGCUUUUAUAAGGGAAUAAAGUGGGAGUCGUGACUCUUUUUGCAUGUACCUUAUGAAUAAGGACCGGCUAAUUCCGUG
rnacentral:rRNA from 1 species